rnacentral:rRNA from 1 species
AUUGAACGCUGGCGGCAUGCCUUACACAUGCAAGUCGAACGGCAGCACGGACUUCGGUCUGGUGGCGAGUGGCGCACGGGUGAGUAAUGUAUCGGAACGUACCUUUCAGUGGGGGAUAACGUAGCGAAAGUUACGCUAAUACCGCAUAUUCUGUGAGCAGGAAAGCAGGGGAUCGAAAGACCUUGCGCUGAUUGAGCGGCCGAUAUCAGAUUAGCUAGUUGGUGGGGUAAAGGCCUACCAAGGCGACGAUCUGUAGCGGGUCUGAGAGGAUGAUCCGCCACACUGGAACUGAGACACGGUCCAGACUCCUACGGGAGGCAGCAGUGGGGAAUUUUGGACAAUGGGGGCAACCCUGAUCCAGCCAUGCCGCGUGAGUGAAGAAGGCCUUCGGGUUGUAAAGCUCUUUCGGCCGGGAAGAAAUCGCAUAGGCUAAUACCCUGUGUGGAUGACGGUACCGGAAUAAGAAGCACCGGCUAACUACGUG